rnacentral:lncRNA from 1 species
UUUUGUGCUUGUUUGCUGUUUGUAUUUAAUCAUGUUUUGGCAUUUUGAGGAAAUCACUGGUUUGGGGGCAGAUGCAGAAUUUUAAUACUGUACAGAGGCCUUUGGGUCCCCCUUCCCCCCAGCCCAAAAGAUCCCAUGUUUCUAACUGUACCUCAUUUUAAGUAUAUAGCACUGACAUGGUACCAGUGACACUGCAGAUGUUUUCUGUGCUAGAAGAAAGACCUCUCUACUCAGCUGCACACUGCAAGAAAAGCUUGAGUUAAUGGUUGGCAUUUCAGGAGAUCUGGGCAGUUGUCAAACUGAUUCUUUUGGACCAAGAGGGAAAACAUUCUAAAGAUUUCUUCUGCCAGCUCAAAACUUUUCAGUGAGAUGCAAGUUACAGCCUACAGAAAUAUUACGUAUGGGCAAAGUAUAUGUCAGCAGGACUACCCAAGUAGGCAUGUGGAAAGUGACACACAUGAGGAUUUGAACUAGGUUAUUGUCCCGGGACCCGAGGAAGCCAGGAAGACUUACCAGGAG